ensembl:lncRNA
CAGGACCUCCACAUCCGGCUUCUUCACCUGCGGGAUCCGUCUGAGACCACAACCGAAGAAUUUCUGCACAAACGGUCAGAAACCUUCUCCGGGAAGCUCAUCUGCGUGCUCGUUGUCAUGUUGCUGACGCCAAAUCCUGACUGCCAUCAGCAUGACGCAACAGGAACCGGCAUUCAUUGGAACAGUGCAGGGGAAGAUGGACAUCCAGAGUGGCAUACAGAUGGCAAUGGAGACUCUCCCCUCCUUCCCCCAACAGUCGGGUACCCAUCAGCAGAGCGAGCCAGAGGACGGCCAGACAGAGGGGAGUGCCAGGCUUACCGCUGACAAUCACAGCAAGGACACCCAGCCAGCUGCUGGCCACCAAGAUGACAAAAUCUGUUUUCACAGACACUCCGAAACCAAGAAGCUACUACUACAAAAGACAUUGCGAUCUCUGGUGGACAACCAGAGACUUACACAACCAGAGACUUUACUCCCUGUAGAUGGAUUGAGUGUUUUCAACAAAGAGACAGCAAAGACAUACACACGUAAAUAUGUACAUUGCAAUUCUUUCGAAUGAGCGGUCGUUCAUGUGCAAAGUAUUUGCGUUUUAUUAGCAUAGUUAUCAGCUGUCUGUACGAUAGUGUAAUUUCUUUCUCUCCCUUUCCCGCUCUUUUGAAUCCGCCAUUUUGUGUAACAAGCCGUCAUAUCGUUUUAGUCCACUAGGGACUUUUCAUUGCAUUGUGUAGUAAUCAAUGUGUAUGCUAUCCUGUUUGUGUGUUUAUGUAAUUCUGUGAUUAUUUAGUUAGUUUGUAAAUAAAUAAGCCAAUUUGUA